AUGGCCGGCGGUGGCGUGGACCGGCUGCCCUCGCUGUCCAACGACCUCCUCCACCGCAUCCUCCACUUCGCCCCACUCAAGCAGGCAGCCUCCACAACAGCGCUCUCCCGGCGUUUCCGUGCGCCGCUCUGGCUCUCCUCGGGCGCCGUGAACCUCGAGACGGGCGUCGUCAUCAUCGAGAAAAAUAAAUACCGCCGACGACAAGGGCACGAUCACGACAACGCCCACGCCCGCUUCUUCUCCGGGAGCGACGACUUGGUCUCUGCGGCCACGGGGGCGCUCGCCGCCGCCGCCGCCGUCCCCGUCACGAGGCUCACCUUAAUCACCUGGUACCCCGACCGGGAUGAGAUCGCGUCGCGCUACAAUGACUUGGUCGAGGUCGUGCUCUCCCACCCGGCGGUGCGCCGCGUUGAGGAGCUUCUGCUCACCGCCAAUGAUCCUAAAGGUAACCCUUAUGAUCGGGUAGUCAACUGCAUAGUCACCCUCGACUCGCUAGCGCUGCAGUUGAAGACACUGUGGAUCCUAGAACUCACCAACUGCAGUGGACUAGUCUACCACGGUGAGGCCGUGCUCCCACGGCUGUCCUCCCUAAGGCUGAGCCAUUGCAGCCAGCAACUAGGAUCCCUCCAACGUAUUAUUGACGCGGCGCCGGCUCUCGCCGCCGUCCGACUCGAGUCUGUCUUCAUAACACAGGAGGAGGAAGCCAUUGAAUUCAAAUGGCGCCGGCUCCGAUGCCCCGCAACCACUGUGCUUGUGCUUGACAGUUGCAGGUGGGAGGUGAAGAUACAGGCCCCUGGCUACUGCUGGAACCUCCCAAAGACCAUUGACCGUUUGGAGAUUGUGGCGAUGAGGCUACGCCGCUUCAGUUACAAGGGACCACUCCUCUCUUACUCAUUCAGUCGACAGCCUCUAGAGUUGGAACAAGUGGAUCUGGAAUUUUUCGAGCAAGGCUACAGCGUAAAGGAUCCAAACCGUGACUUAGGCCAACUCCACCGCGCGACCUGA
rnacentral:rRNA from 1 species